rnacentral:rRNA from 1 species
UACAGAGGGGGCAAGCGUUGUUCGGAAUUACUGGGCGUAAAGGGCGCGUAGGCGGCCUGCUAAGUCGAACGUGAAAUCCCUGGGCUCAACCCAGGAACUGCGUCCGAUACUGGUUGGCUUGAAUCCGGGAGAGGGAUGUGGAAUUCCAGGUGUGGCGGUGAAAUGCGUAGAUAUCUGGAGGAACACCGGUGGCGAAGGCGACAUCCUGGACCGGUAUUGACGCUGAGGCGCGAAAGCCAGGGGAGCAAACGGG